GGAAUAAGGAUCCUUUUCCCCAGUUUACGAAGAGGGUUAUGCUUACCCAUGCGCUGGAAGUGAAGCUUAGCCAUGUCACUUGCAUUGGCCAAUGAGACAUGAGAAUAUGUGACUGUGUCACCCUAGAUGUGCAAAUCUUCACGCUCACUUCCCCUGCUGUGGCAAAUGCUGUAUCCCUUGAUGAGAUGAAAGAGAUGGAGGCAUUACACCUGGUUAAAAAAAAGACUCUGAUCCUGGAGGCAAGAUGGCGGACGAGAAAAACCGCGAGCCGGAGUGUCUCUGCAAGAAAGACAGGUUUUACAAGAAAGUGAAAAAAAUAAAC